AUUUCCUUCUGAUGCGAUAGAGUUCAGGUGAACCUUUGUGUGACAGUCACUGUCAGCAUGUCCGCUGUGUGGUUGAAGCUCGUAGGCAUCCUUUGUCUCUCCUGCACAGCCCUAAGCGGCCCAGAAAGCAGUGGAGUGCAAUGGAGAAAUUUCGGUGAAGCCAUCACGAUCCAGUGCAGACCCUCUGCAGCAGGUGAAGAGUACCUGGCUCUGCAGAAGGGUCUCAACGAGGAACAACGAGUUUUGUUCAUAGAUGGCAGCUCACGAAAAUCGACCAUUGCUAAAGAAAUCCAAGACAGGCUUCAGGUAAAUGAACGAUUCCCCAAUGUGGACAUUCUCAUCAAAAACCUGACCUCCGAGGACACUGGACCAUACUGGUGCGUGUACAUAAAGCUUGACGUGAAGUCCAGUAAAAAAACGUAACACGAAAGGCUCGGGGUCUGUGCUCCUGGUGGUGACAGAUUCAUCAAAGACAUGUGACCCAUCCAGUGAUUAUCUGCUCCUGGUGACUGUUGUGAUCUGUGCUGCCGUGCUGCUUGGCGUCUUCAUAUGCUUCCUCAUAUGGAUCAUCAAGACCAAGACUUUGUGCACCACAAAGUCGAAACCACAGCGCGUCCCCAACAAUGAUGUUUAUGAGGACAUGCGCGGCACAAUCAGACGAUAAAGAUGACACCCUGCAAGAAAGCAACCUGAAACUCCACAGUGUCUCUGCACCACUGAGGCAUAUGUGAUGCAUGAGACGCAAUUUUGCAGCUCAGCGUUUUCUGACAUCUCUUCAGGCCUUGUGUGUUUGUCUGAAUGAAAGACACUUAAGACAACACUGUCUAUGACUUGCUACGAGGUACAAAACGAGACAGCUGAUUAACAAAGUGGUACGACGUAUGAAAAUACUUCACACAGCUCUCUGUGAAAGAAGAGAAGCUCAGACGUCAUCGUUUGUAAUUUCUGUCUGUAAAGUCAGAACUGGAUUUUACUCUGACAUGUAUUUUUGAUGUAAAUCUGGUUUUUUUUUAAAUUCCAGUCAUUUCUCAUAUUUUUGUACAAAAUCAUGAUUUAUUGUAAACAAAACAAAAAAAAUGACAGGGUUAACUUGAAUGUCUAACCACUAUGUAUUGUAAUGUAAUAAAUGUAAUUUCAUGUCUACAUAAAUAAAACAAUAAAUUUGUGAGAUAAGCAGCCAUGUUGGAAAUAAUAUACUUUUAAUUUCUGUGUUUUCUUGAGGCUAUUCGCUGAUAAACCACCCGGUGGUUUUGUGGCAUCACCAUCGAGCCACUAAGAGACCAAUAAAUGAAAAGAAAAAAACAGCUUAACCAGAAAUGAUGUAAAAUAGAUAAG